GAGCACUCUAACGAGACUGCCUUCGUAAGGAGGAGGAAGGUGAGGACGACGUCAAGUCAUCAUGGCCCUUACGGCCAGGGCUACACACGUGCUACAAUGGGGCGUACAAAGAGCUGCAAUACCGCGAGGUGGAGCCAAUCUCUUAAAGCGUCUCUCAGUUCGGAUUGUUCUCUGCAACUCGAGAACAUGAAGCUGGAAUCACUAGUAAUCGUAGAUCAGCUAUGCUACGGUGAAUACGUUCCCGGGUCUU
rnacentral:rRNA from 1 species